GUGAAGCAGCCGUGUAAGCGAGUUGUGGACGGUUCACGAGUGAGAAUGCAGGCAUGAGUAGCGAUACAAGAGUGGGAAACUCUUGCGCCGAUUGACUAAGGGUUCCUGGGUCAAGCUGAUCUGCCCAGGGUAAGUCGGGACCUAAGGCGAGGCCGACAGGCGUAGUCGAUGGAUAACCGGUUGAUAUUCCGGUACCCGUGAUGCAGCGACCAACACUGAAUCUUCUGAUGCUAAGGCCGUGAAGCCGCCUUUGAUCCCUUCGGGGUGAUGGGGAGUGGUGGAGCCGCUGAACCAAGGUGGUAGUAGGUGAGUGAUGGGGUGACGCAGGAAGGUAGUCCAUCCCGGGCGGUGGUUGUCCCGGGGUAAGGGUGUAGGACGUCAUGUAGGUAAAUCCGCAUGGCAUAUAAGUCUGAGACCUGAUGCCGAGCCGUUUGUGGUGAAGUGGAUGAUCCUAUGCUGUCGAGAAAAGCCUCUAGCGAUGUUGUGUUGCGGCCCGUACCCUAAACCGACUCAGGUGGUCAGGUAGAGAAUACCGAGGCGUUCGGGUGAACUAUGGUUAAGGAACUCGGCAAAAUGCCCCCGUAACUUCGGGAGAAGGGGGGCCACACCUGGUGAACACUCUUGCAGUGGGAGCUGGGGGUGGCCGCAGAGACCAGCGAGAAGCGACUGUUUACUAAAAACACAGGUCCGUGCGAAGCCGUAAGGCGAUGUAUACGGACUGACGCCUGCCCGGUGCUGGAACGUUAAGGGGACCGGUUAGCUGCAUUUCGGUGUGGCGAAGCUGAGAACUUAAGCGCCAGUAAACGGCGGUGGUAACUAUAACCAUCCUAAGGUAGCGAAAUUCCUUGUCGGGUAAGUUCCGACCUGCACGAAUGGCGUAACGACUUCUUGACUGUCUCAACCAUAGGCCCGGUGAAAUUGCAGUACGAGUAAAGAUGCUCGUUUCGCGCAGCAGGACGGAAAGACCCCGGGACCUUUACUAUAGCUUGAUAUUGGUGUUCGGUUCGGCUUGUGUAGGAUAGGUGGGAGACUGUGAAGCAUGCACGCCAGUGUGUGUGGAGUCGUUGUUGAAAUACCACUCUGGUCGUGCUGGAUGUCUAACCUGGGUCCGUGAUCCGGAUCAGGGACAGUGUCUGGUGGGUAGUUUAACUGGGGCGGUUGCCUCCUAAAGAGUAACGGAGGCGCCCAAAGGUUCCCUCAGCCUGGUUGGUAAUCAGGUGUUGAGUGUAAGUGCACAAGGGAGCUUGACUGUGAGACUGACGGGUCGAGCAGGGACGAAAGUCGGGACUAGUGAUCCGGCGGUGGCUUGUGGAAGCGCCGUCGCUCAACGGAUAAAAGGUACCCCGGGGAUAACAGGCUGAUCUUCCCCAAGAGUCCAUAUCGACGGGAUGGUUUGGCACCUCGAUGUCGGCUCGUCGCAUCCUGGGGCUGGAGUCGGUCCCAAGGGUUGGGCUGUUCGCCCAUUAAAGCGGCACGCGAGCUGGGUUUAGAACGUCGUGAGACAGUUCGGUCCCUAUCCGCUGCGCGCGUUGGAGUUUUGAGAAGGGCUGUCCCUAGUACGAGAGGACCGGGACGGACGGACCUCUGGUGUGCCAGUUGUUCUGCCAAGGGCAUGGCUGGUUGGCUACGUUCGGGAGGGAUAACCGCUGAAAGCAUCUAAGCGGGAAGCCUGCUUCGAGAUGAGGACUCCCACCCACUUUGUUGGGGUAAGGCUCCCAGUAGACGACUGGGUUGAUAGGCCGGAGAUGGAAGACCUGUGAGGGUUGGAGUUGACCGGUACUAAUAGGCCGAGGGCUUGACCAUAU
rnacentral:rRNA from 1 species